GCGCCGUUGCCAUCUCCUCUUUGCCGUUUCAGACCCCUCUCACUCCGAUGACGACGGAACGAAGAGGUCUUUCGGCAACACUCACAAUGGUAAGUCCUUCUCUACCUUUUCCUUUCCGUUUUGUACACAAAAUAAUAAAUCAAAGGGAAAAAAAUGAAAAAACGAACCAAAUAGAAAAUCACCUUCUAAAAAAACUUUUCUUUCUCUUCGAUUUCUCUCUGUUUUCGUUUUUUAAUAAUUUUGAUACAAUCUUUUUCUCCCAUAUACAGAUUUUAAUUGGCUUUUUAUAGCCAAAGCGAAAAGGAAAAUAGAUAUAUAAAAAUAUUUCUUCCUUCUAUUUUGCUAUGAAUCCCUUUCUUUUCGCUGUUUGCUCCUUGUUUGUUGUAUUGCAGGUAUGCGGCCAGUUAAUGUAGAGGAGAACGUGGGUGCUGCUGUACGUGGGAGCGGCGCGCGUGUAGGGGAGGCCGGUUUAGGAUUUCAGCAAAUUAAUUUUUCUUGGCUAGGGUUUGAAAAUUGGCUAUUGGGCCUGCUAGUGUUGGACUGUUUAUUUUUUCUGUUUUAAUUUACUAUGUGGGCC
rnacentral:lncRNA from 1 species